UACGUAGGGUGCAAGCGUUGUCCGGAAUUAUUGGGCGUAAAGAGCUCGUAGGCGGUCUGUCGCGUCGGAUGUGAAAACCCAGGGCUCAACCCUGGGCCUGCAUUCGAUACGGGCAGACUAGAGUUCGGUAGGGGAGACUGGAAUUCCUGGUGUAGCGGUGAAAUGCGCAGAUAUCAGGAGGAACACCGGUGGCGAAGGCGGUCAACUGGCCCUCGACUGACGCUGAGGCACGAAAGCGUGGGGAUCAAACAGG
rnacentral:rRNA from 1 species